GACGGGCGGGCCCACCAGGGGUGGAGCCUGCUUCUUAAUUUGACUCAACACGGGUCACCUCACCCGGACCGGACACCGUAAGGAUUGACGGACUGUCUUUUCUUUCUUGGUGGGGGGGGGGGCGUGGCCUGGCUCGUUUGGGGUUGGUGGAGCUCUUUUUCGGGUUAAUUCCGAAAACGACCGAGACUUGGGCUAAUAAAAUAGACGAUUAUCUAUCGAGGCUUAGGGAAUAGAGAGGGGGGGCGCCGACCUACCGCAUGAAAUAGAGUAAUAGCUGGUCUGUGAUGGCCUUAGAUGCCCGGCGCUGCGCGCUAGCUACACUGAAAGGUCCGUGUGCGUUUUACCUAGUACGGCAGACCCGGAUUACCCGAGUGAAUUCUGUCGGGGUUGGGGAUAUGGUAUUGCUAUUAUUUCCCUUGAACGAGGAAUUCCCGGUAGAUGCGGGUCAUAUGCUCGCGUUGAUUACGUCCCUGCCCUUUGUACACACCGCCCGUCGCUACUACCGAUUGGAUGACUUAA
rnacentral:rRNA from 1 species